UACGUAGGUGGCUAGCGUUAUCCGGAAUUACUGGGCGUAAAGGGUGCGUAGGUGGUUUCUUAAGUCAGAGGUGAAAGGCUACGGCUCAACCGUAGUAAGCCUUUGAAACUGGGAAACUUGAGUGCAGGAGAGGAGAGUGGAAUUCCUAGUGUAGCGGUGAAAUGCGUAGAUAUUAGGAGGAACACCAGUUGCGAAGGCGGCUCUCUGGACUGUAACUGACACUGAGGCACGAAAGCGUGGGGAGCAAACAGG
rnacentral:rRNA from 1 species